rnacentral:rRNA from 1 species
AAUCGACCGCCUGGGGAGUACGGCCGCAAGGUUAAAACUCAAAUGAAUUGACGGGGGCCCGCACAAGCGGUGGAGCAUGUGGUUUAAUUCGAUGCAACGCGAAGAACCUUACCUGGUCUUGACAUCCACAGAACUUUCCAGAGAUGGAUUGGUGCCUUCGGGAACUGUGAGACAGGUGCUGCAUGGCUGUCGUCAGCUCGUGUUGUGAAAUGUUGGGUUAAGUCCCGCAACGAGCGCAACCCUUAUCCUUUGUUGCCAGCGGUUAGGCCGGGAACUCAAAGGAGACUGCCAGUGAUAAACUGGAGGAAGGUGGGGAUGACGUCAAGUCAUCAUGGCCCUUACGACCAGGGCUACACACGUGCUACAAUGGCAUAUACAAAGAGAAGCGACCUCGCGAGAGCAAGCGGACCUCAUAAAGUAUGUCGUAGUCCGGAUUGGAGUCUGCAACUCGACUCCAUGAAGUCGGAAUCGCUAGUAAUCGUAGAUCAGAAUGCUACGGUGAAUACGUUCCCGGGCCUUGUACACACCGCCCGUCACACCAUGGGAGUGGGUUGCAAAAGAAGUAGGUAGCUUAACCUUCGGGAGGGCGCUUACCACUUUGUGAUUCAUGACUGGGGUGAAGUCGUAACAAGGUAACCGUAGGGGAACCUGCGGUUG